rnacentral:rRNA from 1 species
UUGACCUCGGAUCAGGUAGGGAUACCCGCUGAACUUAAGCAUAUCAAUAAGCGGAGGAAAAGAAACCAACAGGGAUUGCCUCAGUAACGGCGAGUGAAGCGGCAACAGCUCAAAUUUGAAAGCUAGCCUUCGGGUUCGCAUUGUAAUUUGUAGAGGAUGCUUUGGGUAAAACGCCAGUCUAAGUUCCUUGGAACAGGACGUCAUAGAGGGUGAGAAUCCCGUAUGUGACUGGAAAUGUUAACCUAUGUAAAGCUCCUUCGACGAGUCGAGUUGUUUGGGAAUGCAGCUCUAAAUGGGAGGUAAAUUUCUUCUAAAGCUAAAUAUUGGCGAGAGACCGAUAGCGCACAAGUAGAGUGAUCGAAAGAUGAAAAGCACUUUGGAAAGAGAGUUAAAAAGCACGUGAAAUUGUUGAAAGGGAAGCGCUUGCAAUCAGACUUGUUUAAACUGUUCGGCCGGUCUUCUGACCGGUUUACUCAGUUUGGACAGGCCAGCAUCAGUUUCGGCGGCCGGAUAAAGGCUCUGGGAAUGUGGCCUCCACUUCGGUGGAGGUGUUAUAGCCCAGUGUGUAAUACGGCCAGCCGGGACUGAGGUCCGCGCUUCGGCUAG